rnacentral:rRNA from 1 species
AUUGAACGCUGGCGGCAGGCUUAACACAUGCAAGUCGAACGAGUGGCGGACGGGUGAGUAACAUAUAGGAAUCUGCCUAGUAGUGGGGGAUAGCUAGGGGAAACUAGAAUUAAUACCGCACACUAUUAGAUGAGCUUAAAUCGGAUUAGCUAGUUGGUGGGGUAAAGGCCCACCAAGGCGACGAUCUGUAACUGGUCUGAGAGGAUGAUCAGUCACACCGGAACUGAGACACGGUCCUGACUCCUACGGGAGGCAGCAGUGGGGAAUUUUGGACAAUGGGGGCAACCUGAUCCAGCCAUGCCGCGUGUGUGAUGAAGGCCUUCGGGUUGUAAAGUACUUUCAGCGAGGAGGCGUUACUCGCAGAAGAAGCACCGGCUAACUCCGUGCCAGCAGCCGCGGUAAUUC